rnacentral:rRNA from 1 species
UACGGGGGGGGCAAGCGUUGUUCGGAAUUACUGGGCGUAAAGGGCUCGUAGGCGGUCUGUCGCGUCGGGAGUGAAAACUCAGGGCUUAACCCUGAGCCUGCUUCCGAUACGGGCAGACUAGAGGUAUGCAGGGGAGAACGGAAUUCCUGGUGUAGCGGUGGAAUGCGCAGAUAUCAGGAGGAACACCGGUGGCGAAGGCGGUUCUCUGGGCAUUACCUGACGCUGAGGAGCGAAAGUGUGGGGAGCGAACAGG